UCAAACUUGGUCAUUUAGAGGAAGUAAAAGUCGUAACAAGGUCUCCGUAGGUGAACCUGCGGAGGGAUCAUUACAGAAUGAUCUCCUUGAUCUUCAAGCCCUCAAACACUGUGGAACAUACACCUUGUGCUUCGGCGUCGCCUGGCGCCGCUUUUAUGCUUCAAACAUGUCUUUUGUGUCUGAAAUCUAGAAAAGAUGUCAAAACUUUCAACAAAGGAUCUCUUGGCUCUCGCAUCGAUGAAGAACGCAGC
rnacentral:misc_RNA from 1 species